AGCGAACGCUGGCGGCGUGCCUAACACAUGCAAGUCGAACGUGAACGGGGGCGACCCCUAGUAAAGUGGCGUACGGGUGAGUAACGCGUAGGUAAUCUACCCCAGAGUCUGGAAUAACCUGCCGAAAGGCGGGCUAAUACUGGAUAGAGCGAUGGAAUCCGUAAUUGGGUUUUUCGGGAAAGGGAGCGAGCAAUCGCCUUCGCUUUGGGAUGAGCCUGCGUCUCAUUAGCUAGUUGGUGGGGUAACGGCCCACCAAGGCAUUGAUGGGUAGCUGGUCUGAGAGGAUGAUCAGCCACACUGGAACUGAAACACGGUCCAGACUCCUACGGGAGGCAGCAGUGGGGAAUCUUGCGCAAUGGAGGAAACUCUGACGCAGCCACGCCGCGUGAGUGAAGAAGGCCU
rnacentral:rRNA from 1 species